rnacentral:misc_RNA from 1 species
AAGUCGUAACAAGGUUUCCGUAGGUGAACCUGCGGAAGGAUCAUUAUCGAGUUAGGGUCUUCCAGGCCCGACCUCCAACCCUGUGUCUAAAUUACCAUGUUGCUUUGGCGGGCCCGCCUCUAGGGGCCGCUGGGGACCUUAUCGCCUCUGGCCAGCGCCCGUCAGUAGCCUUCUUAAAAAUUCUUUAAUAACUGUGUUGUCUGAGUAUAAAUUAAAAUCGUUAAAA